GCCUGGGUGGCUCAGUCGGUGGGGCGUCUGAAUUCCACUCAGGUCACGAUCUCACAGUUUGUGAGUUCGAGCCCCGCGUCGGGCU
rnacentral:tRNA from 1 species